AUGAACGCUAGCGGCAGGCUUAACACAUGCAAGUCGAGGGGCAGCAUAAUGGAUAGCAAUAUCUAUGGUGGCGACCGGCGCACGGGUGCGUAACGCGUAUGCAACCUACCUUUAACAGGGGGAUAACACUGAGAAAUUGGUACUAAUACCCCAUAAUAUCAUAGAAGGCAUCUUUUAUGGUUGAAAAUUCCGAUGGUUAGAGAUGGGCAUGCGUUGUAUUAGCUAGUUGGUGGGGUAACGGCUCACCAAGGCGACGAUACAUAGGGGGACUGAGAGGUUAACCCCCCACACUGGUACUGAGACACGGACCAGACUCCUACGGGAGGCAGCAGUGAGGAAUAUUGGUCAAUGGACGCAAGUCUGAACCAGCCAUGCCGCGUGCAGGAUGACGGCUCUAUGAGUUGUAAACUGCUUUUGUACGAGGGUAAACGCAGAUACGUGUAUCUGUCUGAAAGUAUCGUACGAAUAAGGAUCGGCUAACUCCGUGCCAGCAGCCGCGGUAAUACGGAGGAUUCAAGCGUUAUCCGGAUUUAUUGGGUUUAAAGGGUGCGUAGGCGGUUUGAUAAGUUAGAGGUGAAAUUUCGGGGCUCAACCCUGAACGUGCCUCUAAUACUGUUGAGCUAGAGAGUAGUUGCGGUAGGCGGAAUGUAUGGUGUAGCGGUGAAAUGCUUAGAGAUCAUACAGAACACCGAUUGCGAAGGCAGCUUACCAAACUAUAUCUGACGUUGAGGCACGAAAGCGUGGGGAGCAAACAGGAUUAGAUACCCUGGUAGUCCACGCAGUAAACGAUGAUAACUCGUUGUCGGCGAUACACAGUCGGUGACUAAGCGAAAGCGAUAAGUUAUCCACCUGGGGAGUACGUUCGCAAGAAUGAAACUCAAAGGAAUUGACGGGGGCCCGCACAAGCGGAGGAACAUGUGGUUUAAUUCGAUGAUACGCGAGGAACCUUACCCGGGCUUAAAUUGCAUUUGAAUAUAUUGGAAACAGUAUAGCCGUAAGGCAAAUGUGAAGGUGCUGCAUGGUUGUCGUCAGCUCGUGCCGUGAGGUGUCGGGUUAAGUCCCAUAACGAGCGCAACCCCUACCGUUAGUUGCCAUCAGGUGAAGCUGGGCACUCUGGCGGGACUGCCGGUGUAAGCCGAGAGGAAGGUGGGGAUGACGUCAAAUCAGCACGGCCCUUACGUCCGGGGCUACACACGUGUUACAAUGGUAGGUACAGAGGGCAGCUACCCAGCGAUGGGAUGCGAAUCUCGAAAGCCUAUCUCAGUUCGGAUUGGAGGCUGAGACCCGCCUCCAUGAAGUUGGAUUCGCUAGUAAUCGCGCAUCAGCCAUGGCGCGGUGAAUACGUUCCCGGGCCUUGUACACACCGCCCGUCAAGCCAUGGGAGCCGGGGGUGCCUGAAGUUCGUGACCGCAAGGAGCGACCUAGGGCAAAACUGGUGACUGGGGCU
rnacentral:rRNA from 1 species